rnacentral:rRNA from 1 species
CCUACGGGAGGCAGCAGUGGGGAAUAUUGGGCAAUGGGCGCAAGCCUGACCCAGCAACGCCGCGUGAAGGAAGAAGGCCUUCGGGUUGUAAACUUCUUUCAAGGGGGAAGAGCAGAAGACGGUACCCCUAGAAUAAGCCACGGCUAACCACGUGCCAGCAGCCGCGGUAACACGUAGGGGGCACGCGUUGUCCGGAUUUACUGGGUGUAAAGGGCGUGCAGCCGGAGAGGCAAGUCAGAUGUGAAAUGCACGGGCUCAACCCGUGAACUGCAUUUGAAACUGUUUCGCUUGAGUGUCGGAGAGGUAAUCGGAAUUCCUUGUGUAGCGGUGAAAUGCGUAGAUAUAAGGAAGAACACCAGUGGCGAAGGCGGAUUACUGGAUGAUAACUGACGGUGAGGCGCGAAAGCGUGGGGAGCAAACAGGAUUAGAUACCCUAGUAGUC